UACGUAGGGUGCGAGCGUUGUCCGGAAUUAUUGGGCGUAAAGAGCUCGUAGGCGGUGUGUCACGUCGAUCGUGAAAACUUGGGGCUUAACUCUGAGCUUGCGGUCGAUACGGGCAUCACUGGAGUUCGGCAGGGGAGACUGGAAUUCCUGGUGUAGCGGUGAAAUGCGCAGAUAUCAGGAGGAACACCGGUGGCGAAGGCGGCCGACUGGACACAUAUUGACGCUGAGGCUCGAAAGCAUGGGGAGCAAACAGG
rnacentral:rRNA from 1 species